AUGGAUUGCCCUGAUGUGCCGUCACUGGGCGCGGUGGCCGCCUGCCACAAGGCGUGUGGCACGAAACUCAUGUAUGACCUUUGCAUCCGCAUAAUGCGCGAAGGCGAUGUCAACAUGUCCCCGUCGCACACGGAGGGGGCCACCGCAUACGCGAUCCUCGCAGCGCACUCCGCUGCGAUUUCCUUCGACAACACGACGAUCGCCAUGAGCGACCAUCUCAGCCAGAACUCCUCGCUCUCGGGCGAGCAGAGGGACGCCUACGAGGGGUGCAUGGACGACUACGCACCGGCGGACAGCUCCAUCGACACCAUUGAAGAAGAGACCCUCCCCAGCUGCCACUUCGCGUUCCUCGCCGACGAGUACACGCGUGUGAUAACUAAUGUGGAGAAAUGUAGGGACCGGCUGUUGGCGCCGACUCUGGUGAAGACGCCGCUGUACCCCGUGGUGUUGGCCGACCUGAACAAAGCAGUGCUAGCGAACAUGCUUGGUAAACUUUUAGGCGUAUGA
rnacentral:rRNA from 1 species